GGCACUUCAAGGGAAGUGGUGGAAAAGCAAUGCUAUGAAGUAAAAGACAACUGUCCCAGCGCAGCACGCUGCCAAGUUGCCGUACGAUGUUGCACCUGAACAAGCUCUUAAUCACGGUGAGGUGAGGACGCACCUGGAUGCCUCAAUCCGAGAUGUGAAGGCAGUGACAGACAAGUUCCUGUCUGCCAUCGUUGUUCAGCUGACCAAAUCCCUUACGGGAUGCGUUUCAUCGCCAAGGUACUGAAAGACUCCCGGCAUGACAAGUUUCCUGAUGCUGGCGAGGAUGAGCUUCUGAAGGAAGAAAAGCUUGAUGUCUGUGCCAAGGGAGACGUACACCGCACUUGCGCUGCCUGGACGAUGUGGAAACUGGAAAUUGUGGGGUGUGCUGAAGCAUGCCCUCUCAGCUUUCGCUCGUGGAAGCACAGAGCAAAGUGACAAGAAACAGCUGCGAGUUCAAGGA